UUAUUUGCUCCUUUGUUCUCACAACAACUCUGCAAACAAGGUAUUUUUACCUCCAUUUUACAGAUUAAGACCCUGGGGCUUGGAGACAGCAAGUGACUGUCCCAAGAUCACUCAGCUGAUAAGUGAUGGAGCCAGGAUUCCAGCCUAGACUGUCUGACUGCAAGGGGCUUGAACUUUUCACCGUAACGCAGAUUGUGAAUUCCAUGAAAGCAGGGACUGUGCUUUCUGAGUCUCUAGCCAAGCACCUGCCACAUGAAUUCUAGGGCUGGAAGAAAAUGUGGAAGAUUCCUCUCUUGGUGCUGAAGGCUUGAGUGGAAUUUGCAGAAGCCCAUUCCGGGAGCUCUAACUAGCUCUUUGCUGGCAAAUUUCCUGGAAAUUUAACCAUCAGCUCUUGUGAACUGGGACUAGCCAGCCCUGGCGUACCACUGGUGAUUGCGGAAGGCCUUGCUGAGAAAGGGACAUCUGAACAGGAAACUGAAAGAGGCUGCAGUCAAUGGCGUGAUCUCCGCUCACUGCAGCCUUGACCUCCUGGGCUCAAGCAAUCCUACCACCUCAGCCCCUCAAGUAGCUAGGACUACAGGAUCUCAUUCUGUCACCCAGGCUGGAGUACAGUGGUGCGAUCUCAGCUUACUGCAACCUCUGCCUCGUGGGUUCAAGUGAUUCUUCUGCCUCAGCCUCCUGAGUAGCUUGGAUUACAGGCACGUGCCACCACACCCAGCUGAUUUUUGUAUUUUUAGUAGAGACAGGGUUUCACCAUGUUGGCCAGGCUGGUCUUGAACUCCUGACCUCAAAUGAUCAGCCCGCCCCAGCCUCCCAAAGUGCUGGGAUGGGAUUACAG
rnacentral:lncRNA from 1 species